GGUUUUCGGCCAGCAGAGCGAGUUGAGGAAACAGGGCGUCGCUUAGCGACUUAUGCUAAGAAGUUCAACGUGCCAUUUGAGUACAGUGCCAUAGCAAAAAAAUGGGAAACCAUAAAACUUGAGGAACUCAAGAUUGACAGGGAAGAAGUCAUUGUUGUUACCUGUUUUUAUCGGGCUAGGAACUUGCUUGAUGAAACAGUAGCAGUGGACAGUCAAAAAGACAUUGUUCUUCAAUUAGUAAGGAAGAUUAAUCCUGAUAUUUUCAUCCAUGCAAUUACCAAUGGGGCCUACAGUGCCCCGUUCUUUGUUACGCGGUUUAGAGAGGCUCUUUUUCACUUCUCUUCAUUGUUUGAUAUGCUUGACACUAUUGUGCCCCG
rnacentral:misc_RNA from 1 species